CCAACCCCGGCCAGCGGUCGGAACUGCGGGACUUGAGUGCGGCCGAGGCGGGCGGAAUUCGUGGUGUAGCGGUGAAAUGCUUAGAUAUCACGAAGAACUCCGAUUGCGAAGGCAGCCCGCCAGCCCGCUACUGACGUUGAGGCUCGAAGGUGCGGGUAUCGAACAGGAUUAGAUACCCUGGUAGUCCGCACGGUAAACGAUGGACACCCGCCGUGGGCGACAUACAGUCCGCGGCCAAGCGAAAGCGUUAAGUGUCCCGCCUGGGGAGUACGCCGGCAACGGUGAAACUCAAAGGAAUUGACGGGGGCCCGCACAAGCGGAGGAACAUGUGGUUUAAUUCGAUGAUACGCGAGGAACCUUACCCGGGCUCGAACCUCCCCCGAAUCCGGCGGAGACGCCGGAGCCAGCAAUGGCGGGGGCGGAGGUGCUGCAUGGUUGUCGUCAGCUCGUGCCGUGAGGUGUCGGCUUAAGUGCCAUAACGAGCGCAACCCCUCCCUCCAGUUGCCAUCGGGUAAUGCCGGGGACUCUGGAGGCACUGCCAUCGCAAGAUGCGAGGAAGGCGGGGAUGACGUCAAAUCAGCACGGCCCUUACGUCCGGGGCUACACACGUGUUACAAUGGGGGGUACAGAGGGCCGCUGCACGGCGACGUGCGGCCAAUCCCUAAAUCCCCUCCCAGUUCGGACCGGAGUCUGGAACCCGACUCCGCGAAGCUGGAUUCGCUAGUAAUCGCGCAUCAGCCAUGGCGCGGUGAAUACGUUCCCGGGCCUUGUACACACCGCCCGUCAAGCCAUG
rnacentral:rRNA from 1 species